UACGAAGGGGGCUAGCGUUGCUCGGAAUCACUGGGCGUAAAGGGUGCGUAGGCGGGUCUUAAGUCAGGGGUGAAAUCCUGGAGCUCAACUCCAGAACUGCCUUUGAUACUGAAGAUCUUGAGUUCGGGAGAGGUGAGUGGAACUGCGAGUGUAGAGGUGAAAUUCGUAGAUAUUCGCAAGAACACCGGUGGCGAAGGCGGGUCUCUGGACA
rnacentral:rRNA from 1 species